CUACAUUCUUGUAGCCUGCAGCGUUCGGUUGGAACGUUUGAUCUAAGGGUUUCUCUGCAAACAGCUGGCUGUAUGCAGCUUUGCGACUGAUCCAGUCGGAGCCGCGGGCUUACUCGUUCUCCAGGAGCUGUGGCCGCUGCGCAGAAACUUCGACGGACACGUUGGUGUCAGCUUGACAAUUUGUAGUGGAGUGGAGGUGGUGACCCUCAGCCCACGUGUCAGUGUCUUCAAGGAGAGAUGGCCUGGUUUAUUCAAUGAGGCUCAGGUGAGAACGUUACGUUUAUUUGUUUCCAUUUCAACUCACUGUUGUGAGUAAUGAGUGUUGUCCCCUAUGCUCUUUAUUAGAUCAAGGAGGAGUUCCGACACAUAACAACUCUUUCACUGGAAGACUUUGAUGCUGAAACUGGAUGGGUACACUAACACCACUCGCUCCAGCUGAUGCGUGCCAAAGGAGGAGAUGCUGGCUCCAGGAUGCGCCCUCUUCUGAGCGCAAUUGAUGAGCCCCAGAGUGUUGGAAAAAAGGGAUGCAGUGGCCAGGUGCCUGAUUGAAGACCUUGGGGAUCGCCAAGAAGACCUUUUUCAAGACAGCCAGAUAUGUCGUUAAAGACUGAUCACUUCAAGAUUUUAACGGAGUUAUUUCGGAGGUUGCUCUGAUACCGUUGUUUAAUUUCUGUGAUUAACCACUCUUACACCUAACAAAUAAAUAUGCAAUUUAUUGCUGUAAAUCUGUAAACAUCUUAUUGUUUUUAUAAAUGGUUUAGCAUUCACAGGAAAAUGAUUUAGGGAUAAUGUACUGAUGUGCUUGCUACUUAACAUAUGAAACCUUCUUUUGGUGUUAAAGUGAAAUAAGAUAAAUAAAAUCAUUCACUGAAAAGUUAUGUUUAUGGGAAAGAAUCAAUUUAAUGUCAUUGAUUAGAUCGAUGGGCAAUUUGACUGGGCCUGACAUUUUUUAUAUAAGUUAGAAAUCUUUUUUUGUUUUUAAUCGCUGCCACACAUUUUUUCAAAUCAUUUAAAAAAAGUCAAUCCCUGGUUUUAUUGAUUAGGCUUAAUGCUAGACCACAAAGCCUAUAUUGUAUAAUAGCUUCUUGUUAAUAUGCCUAAUUUAAAGUGAAUAUGCUUUUCUUUCUUUCUUUUCAACAUGGAGGACGAGCAUGACAACGUCGUGGACCAAACUGUGAAGGUGCUUGUGAUCCAUGAUGCCAGGGACAGGGGACCAGCAGAUGUGUCUAUUGUCAUAGAGGGAGACAGAGUUUUGUGCGGAGACCAAACAAAGGCAUGCACAUUGUUGAUGGGAUUCAUCUACGCCAGGGGUGGGGAACCUUUUUCCUCUCAAGGGCCAUUUCAAUUUUUUCAACAUCCUCCGAGGGCCGUACAAAUUAUUGACCUCUGCUUAAAAAUCACAGCACAUUCAUUUGGCCUUUCUUUCAUGCUGUGCAAAGAAAAAGCAACCUCUUAAUCCAGA